CAAUCCCAAGCCUCCUUGGAGAACUGAGGGCGCCACCGGAGCUCCGGUAUCAGGAUCCGGAGGAUUUAAACACUUAGUGUUCGUCAACGGUUAAGUUCCGGAGUGGGGCGGGCCUUGCGCGCACGCAGUGAAAAGCCCAGCCGGGCGGCCGGGAGGACGUCAGAGGCGGCCGGAAGCGCUCGCUUCCGUGGUCGUUGCUCGGCGACUAGAAGCGGACUAAAUUUGAAAGGACAAAAGAGGGGAAGUUAGAUUUCUUCCGGUUUCUUUCCUAAGAAGCAUCCCCUCCUCUCAAUAACAUAAAUUAAAAAAAAAAAAAAGAAAACACUUCCUGUUGAGCAGAAAAGAACUUGACAAAUUUAUAAACCGUUUGUGCUUACUCUGCAGCUGAUUGGCAAGUUCUUUCUGUAGGGAGAUCCAAGUGACAAACCUCAAUGGCUGCCAUGGGUUACAUUUAGUGCAGAGGCCCUGGGGUGUAAGCUUCCUCACAUCUUCGAGCAAGGAGGUGUGGGUUAGGCGUAGUGAUGUCCCUCGAAAGUGUACAAUAUGGAAAGGAGGAGGAGAAAGAGUAACUUUACAGUGGAGAAACCUGACCAAUGUUACUUCAGCCGGGUGACCUAGGCCAACAUUGAGUCAUAAGUCAUGUUGACAGUAUGUACACUUGAAAUGCUGUGAUGAAAAUGGCACUUUACCUCUGUGGUCUUCCUUUCAGUAACUUAUAACCCCAGUUUUACCCUGAGAAAAACAUCAGACAAAUUCCAAUAGAGGGCAAUCCGAUAAAAUACCUGACCAGUACUCCUCAAAACUGUCAAGGUUAUCAAAAACAAGGAAAGUUUGAGAAACUAGCCAAGAGGAGCCUAAAGAGAUAUAACAAAUAAAUGUAUUGUGGUAUCAUGGAGGGGAUCAUGGACCCAAAAAAAAUGACACUAGGUUAAAAACAAAGAAAAUCUAAAUAAACUGUGGACUUUAAUUGAUAAUAAUGUACCAAUAUUGGUUUGUUAAUUGUAACAAAUGUACCAUACUAAAUAUAAGAUGUUAAUAAUAGGAGAAACUAAGUGUGGGGUAUGUGGGAACUCUGUACUGUGUUCUCAAUUUUUCUGUAAAUAUAUUUCUAAAAAAUAAAGUCUGUUACAAAGAAAAAAGGAAGGGGCAAGAGAAGAGUUGAAAUAUGCCAAUUUUUUGAACAACAAUAAAGUAAAAUGGCUUCUUUUUUGCUUAAUAAUAACUCAAAUACAAAAAAAAGGCUUCAAUUAAACAUUGAAUGAAGAGAAAAAUAAUCUUAUACAUCUAUUCCCUAUAAUCUAUUCCCUAGAUAUUAAAAAAAUUUUUGAAUUAUGGUAU
rnacentral:lncRNA from 1 species